rnacentral:rRNA from 1 species
AUUGAACGCUGGCGGCAGGCCUAACACAUGCAAGUCGAGCGGAUGAAGGGAGCUUGCUCCUGGAUUCAGCGGCGGACGGGUGAGUAAUGCCUAGGAAUCUGCCUGGUAGUGGGGGAUAACGUCCGGAAACGGGCGCUAAUACCGCAUACGUCCUGAGGGAGAAAGUGGGGGAUCUUCGGACCUCACGCUAUCAGAUGAGCCUAGGUCGGAUUAGCUAGUUGGUGGGGUAAAGGCCUACCAAGGCGACGAUCCGUAACUGGUCUGAGAGGAUGAUCAGUCACACUGGAACUGAGACACGGCCCAGACUCCUACGGGAGGCAGCAGUGGGGAAUAUUGGACAAUGGGCGAAAGCCUGAUCCAGCCAUGCCGCGUGUGUGAAGAAGGUCUUCGGAUUGUAAAGCACUUUAAGUUGGGAGGAAGGGCAGUAAGUUAAUACCUUGCUGUUUUGACGUUACCAACAAAAUAAGCACCGGCUAACUUCGUG